rnacentral:rRNA from 1 species
UAUGGAAUAAAAUAUUUCACUGGAUAAUAUUGGCCGCUGCCAUGAAACCCAAAAAAAAUGACGGUGUUUUAUAUACUUAGGGGAACCUGCUACUUAAUAUGAUAAUCCACACACUAUUAAACCUAUCUUAGUAAUCAGCUUGUAUACUACUGUCGCCAGUAAACCUUUAUAAGAGUUUACAAUAAUAAAUUAUAUUAAUUACGUCAAGUCACAGUGCCGCCAAUAGAUAGGAGUUAAGUGGGUUACAAACUUCAAUAAAGAAUACGAAAAAUUUCAAGAAAAAAAAUUUGAAGGUGGACUUAAUAGUAAUGAAUAAAAUCAUUAACAAUAAUUUAGAACAUGUACACAUCGCCCGUCGCUCUCAUAACAAAAUG